GGAGGGUAUAGCUCAGUGGUAGAGUGUGUGCCUAGCAUGCAUGAGGUCCUGGGUUCAAUCCCCAGUACCUCCA
rnacentral:tRNA from 1 species